rnacentral:tRNA from 1 species
CAAAGAAUAAUUUAUAUAAUAAAAUAUUAAAUUUGGGGUUUAAAAUUGGAAUUUUUUCUUCUUUGA